GUUGGCGGUAGCGAGGUCGCGCGCUGCCUUGGCGGCGGCGACUGCGGAUUUUGAUCGAAAUCCAUCUGUGUUUAAUUUUACGGCGGCGUCA
rnacentral:tRNA from 1 species